GACAGAGGGUGCGAACGUUGUUCGGAAUUACUGGGCGUAAAGCGUGUGUAGGCGGCAAUGCAAGUCGGGCGUGAAAUCCCACGGCUCAACCGUGGAAGUGCACUCGAAACUGCAUAGCUAGAGUCCUGGAGAGGAAGGUGGAAUGCUUGGUGUAGAGGUGAAAUUCGUAGAUAUCAAGCGGAACACCGGUGGCGAAGGCGGCCUUCUGGACCGAUACUGACGCUGAGGCGCGAAAGCGUGGGGAGCAAACAGG
rnacentral:rRNA from 1 species